GGCCGGGGACAGAAGGCUCUGGGAGCGUGCUCCAAGCUUGUCCAUCGCCCAACGCGCGACCUGCAACUCGCAUCCCGCGGCCCAGCGAGUGGCACGCGCGCGAAGGCAGCUGUGGAGACCUCUGAAUGCUCCCUGUGAACUCUUAUGUGGCCUGGCGAGGUCACCUACACCAAGUGGAUACGACCACCCCGGGACCUGAUGGCGAGCUCGGGUCCCACCUGGCUCUGUGCGGUAACCAAGCAGCAAGGCCCGCAAGGUUCUAGAAGUUACCAGAGAACUAUGCUGCAUAAACGCAUAGGUUUUCUGGCUUUGAUAUCCUGACAGCAUUCGAUGUUAGGACAGGGGUUCACUUCCGAAAAACCACUGAUAACAUAUUUAUUUGGGCACAAGGAUGUCUGGAGGAAGUAAAAAGCACAGAGUACUUAGAGUACUUGUGUCUCCCUUUCCUUUAGAACCCUGUCAAGGGAAGGGGCUGAUUCUUGCCACCUAGCCCCCCAAAAAACAAUACCAGGCCACACUCGAUACAAAGUGCUUGAUUAACUUCGCUGUUACCAGCAACCCCAGAAAACCACUAGUAUCUUAUAAAAUGAUAAGAGCAAAGCUAAGCAGUUAAAAACUCAGGUUGACUAAUAUAUUUUGAAUGUUCAAAUGCAUGCACUCAUAGCCAGCAGCACAAGCUCCAGCUCCUGCUCCGGCUCAUUCUUCUCUCUGUCUCCUACUUAUGGUUCCAGAUGGGGCUUCAGCUACUUCUUCAGCAUCAUGCCUGCCUGCCUUCCUGCCAUCGUGUUCCCCACCAUGAUGAAAACAGAUUUGUCUUUGAAACUUGUCCCCAAUUAAAUGCUUUACAAUAUAAGAAAUGCCUUGGUCAUGAUGUCUCUUGACAAUAAUAAAACAGUGACUGGGAGUGGCA